UCCUUAGUGGCUCAGAUGGUAAAGCAUCUGUCUACAAUGCAGGAGACCCGGGUUCGAUCCCUGGAUUGGGAA
rnacentral:tRNA from 1 species